CACGACUGGACAAGAACAACUCAGUGUUAUACGAGGCUGGGAACAUUUGCAGUGAAAACACUUCUCUGGGGAGGCUGGAAAGGGCUCUUUGGGGCUUCCCUCACUCUGGGACUGUCUGGAAAUGGCUGAAGCUCUGUGUGUCUGGCAGAUACUUCCUUUGAGCUCAGGAGAAACCAUAUACUGCUGGAGAUGCUUGGCCCAGGCAGCAAGUCUGAGCUGCACAGAUAUGGAAGUGGGUGCCCAGAUAGCCAAGGGAUGGCACUUUGAUGUUCACAACAGGUGCUUAGGAAGUAGCUAAACUGUGAACCUUGGGAUGACUGAAUAACUUUCAGUUUUCAUAGCUGGAGAUAUGACUUAGAAAUGAGCAGAAAGCAAAUGGCAAGUAUUAAGUAUU
rnacentral:lncRNA from 1 species